ensembl:snoRNA
AUGCAUCUAUUUAACAGAACCUGGAGCAGUUAUUAUCUACUGCUAAGGUUUCCACUACAGAUGCAAGAAAAAAGUGUCCUCGAGCUUUCUGAUUGUGACAGCCAAAACUGAAUGGGGGAAUACGGGG